GGCGCACGGGUGAGUAACGCGUGGGCAACCUGCCCCUGAAUCUGGGAUAACCCACCGAAAGGCGGACUAAUACCGGGUAUUGUCCCUUAAAUUGUGGUUUUUGGGAUAAAAGGUGACCUCUUCAUGAAAGUUGCCGUUCAAGGAGGGGCCCGCGUACCAUUAGCUUGUUGGUGGGGUAACGGCUCACCAAGGCGACGAUGGUUAGCUGGUCUGAGAGGAUGAUCAGCCACACUGGAACUGAAACACGGUCCAGACUCCUACGGGAGGCAGCAGUGGGGAAUUUUGCGCAAUGGGGGAAACCCUGACGCAGCAACGCCGUGUGAGUGAAGAAGGCUUUCGGGUCGUAAAGCUCUGUCAAGUGGGAAAAAAGUCUGACGAUGAAUAGUCGCUAGAUUUGAUGGUACCACUGGAGGAAGCACCGGCUAACUCCGUGCCAGCAGCCGCGGUAAUACGGAGGGUGCAAGCGUUGUUCGGAAUUACUGGGCGUAAAGGGCGUGUAGGCGG
rnacentral:rRNA from 1 species